GUGCAGCCCUUAACAGAUCUUCUUGGAUAAACUUAUGCUCUUUUUUUGCAAUUGCCUUUUCCUUCUCAUCUCUCUCUCUCUCUCUUUUUUUUUCCAGAGAAAGAAAAGGACCCUACCUAAAAUGCUUUCUGCUUGAGAGAGCAUCAGAUGCCACUGAGCCAGAGAAAGCCCAGGAUUGGAGCCCUGUGGACCCAAGUUCAAGUUCCUGCUUGGCUACUUACCCAGCUGUGGGUCUCAGGGAAGUGACCCAGCCUUUUCUAGCCUGUUUCCUCUGCUGGCUUUUAUGUGGUAAUGGAAGAUGCCUCUCAAUACCUGAUGAAGAAAAAGCAAGGGAAGGAGGAGAGGAAGAGGGAGAGAGGGUUGAAGCUACACAGGCAAUGAGGCACCAGAGCGGAUAUGUGUGU
rnacentral:lncRNA from 13 species